rnacentral:rRNA from 1 species
UGAGUAACACGUGAGUCACCUGCCCCUGACUCUGGGAUAACUACCGGAAACGGUGGCUAAUACCGGAUAUGAGGUGCCUGGGCAUCUGGGCGCCUGGAAAGUUUUUCGGUCAGGGAUGGGCUCGCGGCCUAUCAGCUUGUUGGUGGGGUGAUGGCCUACCAAGGCGACGACGGGUAGCCGGCCUGAGAGGGCGACCGGCCACACUGGGACUGAGACACGGCCCAGACUCCUACGGGAGGCAGCAGUGGGGAAUAUUGCACAAUGGGCGCAAGCUGAUGCAGCGACGCCGCGUGCGGGAUGACGGCCUUCGGGUUGUAAACCGCUUUCAGCAGGGAAGAAGCGAAAGUGACGGUACCUGCAGAAGAAGCGCCGGCUAACUACGUGCCAGCAGCCGCGGUAAUACGUAGGGCGCAAGCGUUGUCCGGAAUUAUUGGGCGUAAAGAGCUCGUAGGCGGUUUGUCGCGUCUGCUGUGAAAUCCUCAGGCUCAACCUGGGGCUUGCAGUGGGUACGGGCAGACUAGAGUGCGGUAGGGGUGACUGGAAUUCCUGGUGUAGCGGUGGAAUGCGCAGAUAUCAGGAGGAACACCGAUGGCGAAGGCAGGUCACUGGGCCGCAACUGACGCUGAGGAGCGAAAGCAUGGGGAGCGAACAGGAUUAGAUACCCUGGUAGUCCAUGCCGUAAACGUUGGGCACUAGGUGUGGGGUCCAUUCCACGGAUUCCGUGCCGCAGCAAACGCAUUAAGUGCCCCGCCUGGGGAGUACGGCCGCAAGGCUAAAACUCAAAGAAAUUGACGGGGGCCCGCACAAGCGGCGGAGCAUGCGGAUUAAUUCGAUGCAACGCGAAGAACCUUACCAAGGCUUGACAUACACCGGAAAAGUGCAGAGAUGUGCUCCCCGUAAGGUCGGUGUACAGGUGGUGCAUGGUUGUCGUCAGCUCGUGUCGUGAGAUGUUGGGUUAAGUCCCGCAACGAGCGCAACCCUCGUCCCAUGUUGCCAGCGGGUUAUGCCGGGGACUCAUGGGAGACUGCCGGGGUCAACUCGGAGGAAGGUGGGGAUGACGUCAAAUCAUCAUGCCCCUUAUGUCUUGGGCUUCACGCAUGCUACAAUGGCCGGUACAAAGGGCUGCGAUACCGUGAGGUGGAGCGAAUCCCAAAAAGCCGGUCUCAGUUCGGAUCGGGGUCUGCAACUCGACCCCGUGAAGUCGGAGUCGCUAGUAAUCGCAGAUCAGCAACGCUGCGGUGAAUACGUUCCCGGGCCUUGUACACAC